AACGAACGCUGGCGGCAUGCCUAACACAUGCAAGUCGAACGAGAUCUUCGGGUCUAGUGGCGCACGGGUGCGUAACGCGUGGGAAUCUGCCCUUUGGUUCGGAAUAACAGUUGGAAACGACUGCUAAUACCGGAUGAUGACGAAAGUCCAAAGAUUUAUCGCCAGAGGAUGAGCCCGCGUAGGAUUAGCUAGUUGGUGUGGUAAAGGCGCACCAAGGCGACGAUCCUUAGCUGGUCUGAGAGGAUGAUCAGCCACACUGGGACUGAGACACGGCCCAAACUCCUACGGGAUGCAGCAGUGGGGAAUAUUGGACAAUGGGCCAAAGCCUGAUCCAGCAAUGCCGCGUGAGUGAUGAAGGCCUUAGGGUUGUAAAGCUCUUUUACCCGGGAUGAUAAUGACAGUACCGGGAGAAUAAGCUCCGGCUAACUCCGUGCCAGCCGCCGCGGUAA
rnacentral:rRNA from 1 species